GAUGAACGCUGGCGGCGUGCCUAAUACAUGCAAGUCGAGCGAACGGACGAGAAGCUUGCUUCUCUGAUGUUAGCGGCGGACGGGUGAGUAACACGUGGAUAACCUACCUAUAAGACUGGGAUAACUUCGGGAAACCGGAGCUAAUACCGGAUAAUAUUUUGAACCGCAUGGUUCAAAAGUGAAAGACGGUCUUGCUGUCACUUAUAGAUGGAUCCGCGCUGCAUUAGCUAUUUGGUAAGGUAACGGCUUACCAAGGCAACGAUGCAUAGCCGACCUGAGAGGGUGAUCGGCCACACUGGAACUGAGACACGGUCCAGACUCCUACGGGAGGCAGCAGUAGGGAAUCUUCCGCAAUGGGCGAAAGCCUGACGGAGCAACGCCGCGUGAGUGAUGAAGGUCUUCGGAUCGUAAAACUCUGUUAUUAGGGAAGAACAUAUGUGUAAGUAACUGUGCACAUCUUGACGGUACCUAAUCAGAAAGCCACGGCUAACUACGUG
rnacentral:rRNA from 1 species